CUUAAUCCGUUUGUCUGUCCUUGUUUGUCCUUUGGUGAUCAAUCUUAUCGACUGGCCCUGCUCCCCAAAAGUUUUGGGCCUUGUGCCUAUAACAGAAAGGAUUAUUAUUAUUAUUAUUAUUCUUUAAGCUGGUAGAUUCAUUAGCAGCAUCCUCCCAACUCGUUAUGUUCCCAAUUCAAAUGCCAGUGAGAUUCUCAUUUCAUCUUUUCAGGGUUCCUAAAGCACGUAACAGGCAAGUACUAAGGGUCCUUAUAAUCAGGUUUUCCACUUCUGAAAUUUCCUGGCCUUGUGCCAAAACUUGCAAAACUUAUUAUUAUUAUUGUUAUUGUUUGUUAAGAGUAGUGGGUGUUGUGGAGCAAGAUUAUUGAUGUUGAACUCUUGCUUCAUACUAAACCACCAGAAACCACAAACUUCCAAAAGUCAAACCAUUCUGUUUUUGAAAAUGUUUAUAUUUAAAGUUAAAAUCUCCCAUCAUAAUUUUAUAUAAGAAAGUUUUGUUAAAAUAUGUUCCAAACACUAGCUUUUCAGGAUAUUUUUCACCAAGUCCCUCCAAGUUUUUUUUAUUAUUAUUAUUAUUUUCACAACACGCAUCCAGUAAGGUGAGGGUGGGAUUUAAUCAGGGUUAUUAAAAGGUUAAUAUUUCAAUUCCACGGCAUUGUGCCCCGAGUUGGUAUACUUUUAAGAUGGUUUUUGCCUUUCAAUCAGGUGGGGGUGAAAGUCAUGUACUGGUGUCAAAGCAAUUGCUCCUCAAAGUCGUCUGCAAAUUUGUAGCCUUGUGCUGAUGCCAAACCAAAUUGUUGCUGUUGCUGCUGCUACUGCCACCACCAUCACCACCAUAAAGAUCCACUAAGUUUUCUUGGCAAGAGAUUUCCCGAAUGAAUUUCUCGUUUCCCCUCAACUGUUACAAUCUCCCUCCCCGCGGAAAAAUUUACAACAAUUAACGUCAAAAGAAGACACCACCACCACCACUUUUGUUAACCCACAUUCUGUUGCUUCUUCCUAGAGUUGUUUUUCAUUGUUGAAAUAAGGCUAAAAUGGCUAAAAAGUGACUCAGUGAUUCCUUGACAUAUUUCAUUGUUCUUUCUGAAACCCCAGUUUUUACUAAACUGCUGGAAAUUGGCACCAGAACUCGCUCCCAUUAAAAAUAACAGAAAACAAAACAAAAUAUAAAGUGAAUGUUACCUGUGAUAGACUAUCAAUCUUUCCAGGGGUAGGUUUCUCUCUCUCUCUCUCUCAUCUGCUCAGUAUUACAGAAACAACAGGAGUCGAACUAUCAUCCCCUUUGGACCCCCUUUUGUUUCAUCAAAGGAUUAACUACAAUUUAUGGGUUUUUUUUUUUUUUAUAAGUUGUUCAUCUUGGUCGAAGUGUCCCCAAAUUCCUCGUCGAUCCUCUCUCAUCCCUUUUUCUUGCUUUUGCUGUUUUUACUGCUGUCUUCAUAAAA